CCAAUAGCGUAUAUUAAAGUUGUUGCAGUUAAAAAGCUCGUAGUUGAAUUUCGGGAUCAAAUUGUCGGUCGUGCCUCGGUACGCACUGGUAUUAUUGGUUCCUACCUUCUGACGAACCGCGAUGUCAUUAAUUUGGUGUCGUGGGGAAUCAGGACUGUUACUUUGAAAAAAUUAGCGUGUUUAAAGCAGGCUUACGCUAGAAUACAUUAGCAUGGAAUAAUGAAAUAGGACGUUUGAUUCUAUUUUGUUGGUUUCUAGGAUUGACGUAAUGAUUAAUAGGGAUAGUUGGGGGCAUUAGUAUUCAAUUGUCAGAGGUGAAAUUCUUGGAUGUAUUGAAGACUAACUACUGCGAAAGCAUUUGCCAAGGAUGUUUUCAUUAAUCAAGAACGAAAGUUAGGGGAUCGAAGACGAUCAGAUACCGUCGUAGUCUUAACCAUAAACUAUGCCGACUAGGGAUCGGAUGAUGUUAAUUUUUUAAUGACUCAUUCGGCGCCUUACG
rnacentral:rRNA from 1 species